rnacentral:tRNA from 1 species
GUGGUGGCUCAAUGGUAGAGUGCUUGCCUAGCAUGUGUAAGGCACUGAGUUUGAUUCUCAGCACCACA